rnacentral:rRNA from 1 species
ACGCCGCGUGAGGGAUGACGGCCUUCGGGUUGUAAACCUCUUUCAGCAGGGAAGAAGCGAAAGUGACGGUACCUGCAGAAGAAGCGCCGGCUAACUACGUGCCAGCAGCCGCGGUAAUACGUAGGGCGCAAGCGUUGUCCGGAAUUAUUGGGCGUAAAGAGCUCGUAGGCGGUUUGUCGCGUCUGCUGUGAAAACGCGAGGCUCAACCUCGCGCCUGCAGUGGGUACGGGCAGACUAGAGUGCGGUAGGGGAGACUGGAAUUCCUGCUGUAGCGGUGGAAUGCGCAGAUAUCAGGAGGAACACCGGUGGCGAAGGCGGGUCUCUGGGCAGUAACUGACGCUGAGGAGCGAAAGCAUGGGGAGCGAACAGG